GCGCCCAUAGCUCAACUGGAUAGAGCAUCCGCCUUCUAAGCGGACGGUUGCAGGUUCGAGUCCUGCUGGGCGCGCCA
rnacentral:tRNA from 1 species